rnacentral:tRNA from 1 species
UGGUGGGUGAGGACGGGAUCGAACCGCCGACCCCCUCCUUGUAAGGGAGGUGCUCUCCCAGCUGAGCUAAUCACCC